rnacentral:rRNA from 1 species
GACGAACGCUGGCGGCGUGCCUAACACAUGCAAGUCGAGCGGAGAAAAUUGAAAGCUUGCUUUUGGUUUUCUUAGCGGCGGACGGGUGAGUAACGCGUGGGCAACCUGCCUAUCACAGGGGGAUAACACAGGGAAACUUGUGCUAAUACCGCAUAACACAACGAGGUAGCAUUACCUUGCUGUCAAGGGAGCAAUCCGGUGAUAGAUGGGCCCGCGUCCAAUUAGCUAGUUGGUGAUGUAACGGACCACCAAGGCGACGAUUGGUAGCCGAACUGAGAGGUUGAUCGGCCACAUUGGGACUGAGACACGGCCCAGACUCCUACGGGAGGCAGCAGUGGGGAAUAUUGCACAAUGGGGGAAACCCUGAUGCAGCAACGCCGCGUGAAGGAUGAAGGUUUUCGGAUUGUAAACUUCUUUAGUCAGGGACGAAUAAAUGACGGUACCUGAAGAAUAAGCCACGGCUAACUACGUGCCAGCAGCCGCGGUAA